rnacentral:rRNA from 1 species
GCCAAAAUCCACUUAAUCUUGAAUACACCGGUGUACACCGGUUCUAGUCCGAUCACCGAAGUCAAGCAACAUCAGGCGCGGUCAGUACUUAGAUGGGUGAUUAUCUCGGGUCACCACGUGAUGUCGGAU